rnacentral:rRNA from 1 species
GUGCCAGCCGCCGCGGUAAUUCCAGCUCCAAUAGCAUAUAUCAAAGUUGUUGCGGUUAAAACGCCCGUAGUCGGAUCAGCGGAUUUGGAGAACGGUCUGCCGAUGGGCUGUACUGUUCUCCUGUCCUAUUUUCUCUAGUUCGCUCUAGGUGCUCUUCACUGAGUGUCUAGAGUGGCUGGAACUUUUACUUUGAAAAAAUUAGAGUGCUCAAAGCAGGCGUCUCAGCCUGAAUAGUGGUGCAUGGAAUAAUGGAAUAGGACCUCAGUUCUAUUUUGUUGGUUUUCGGAGCAUGAGGUAAUGAUUAAGAGGGACAGACGGGGGCAUUCGUAUUGCGACGUUAGAGGUGAGAUUCUUGGAUCGUCGCAAGACGAACUACUGCGAAAGCAUUUGCCAAGAAUGUUUUCAUUAAUCAAGGACGAUAGUUAGAGGUUCGAAGGCGAUCAGAUACCGCCCUAGUUCUAACCGUAAACGAUGUCAACCAGCGGUCCGCAGGAGUUAUUCAUGACUCUGCGGGCAGCUUCCGGGAAACCAAAGUUUUUGGAUUCCGGGGGGAGUAUGGUUGCAAAGCUGAAACUUAAAGGAAUUGACGG